rnacentral:rRNA from 1 species
GACGAACGCUGGCGGCGUGCCUAAUACAUGCAAGUAGAACGCUGAAGCGAGGAGCUUGCUCUUCUUGGAUGAGUUGCGAACGGGUGAGUAACGCGUAGGUAACCUGCCUUGUAGCGGGGGAUAACUAUUGGAAACGAUAGCUAAUACCGCAUAACAAUGGAUGACACAUGUCACUUAUUUGAAAGGGGCAAUUGCUCCACUACAAGAUGGACCUGCGUUGUAUUAGCUAGUAGGGGAGGGAAGGGCUCACCUAGGCGACGAUACAUAGCCGACCUGGGAGGGUGGUUGGCCCCCCCGGGACUGGGACCCCGGCCCAGCCCCCUCCGGGAGCCACCAGUGGGGAACAUUGGCCAAGGGGGGAAAGCUGGACCAAGCACGACGCGGUGGGUGAAGAGGUUUUUCGAUCGUAAAGCUCUGUUGUAAGUCAAGAACGGGUGUGAGAGUGAAAAGUUCACACUGUGACGGUAGCUUAACAGAAAGCAACGGCUAACUACGUG